GUGAAUUGAAUAUUGUUAGCGGACCUCUUUGGAAGUCCCUAGCCAUCAAAUCAUAUCCAUAACACCUGUGAACUGUAAGGCUGUCUUGAAAACGAAAGUGAUUAGAGCGCCUGCCCAUUUUAUACAAACAUUAAAGUAACAAACGUAGUCUUAUUAUAAUCUAAUA
rnacentral:misc_RNA from 1 species